UUUUUUUUUUUUUUUUUUCCCAUGUGUUUCAAAAAAUCUCGUUUGUUUGGUUUUAUUAGCAUUUGUAAUUGAAUUUGGAGUGUGCAUUUGAGCUGGCUGGCUUAUUUGGAAUGAAACCCCAACACACGAUGCUUUUUUCCUUUUUUGCAAACUCACACGAACUUCGCCUAUAAACUUGCAUGUGAAAUCCAUGAAAUCUCUCGUCUGUACUUUAUAAAUUAAAAACCCCUUUUGAUUUAAUCCAUAAAACGCGUUGAAGAAGGAGAAAGGGUUGGAUAUGAAAAGGGCCCUUCACCGCCCACAUCGAGCCCCGAUGCCUUUCUCUGUCUAUAUAAAUCAAACCUUUCUUUUCUUUCUUCUUCUUCUUCUUCUUCUUCUUCUUGUGUAGAUGGGGAUCGACAUAAUCAGUGCAAUGUGAACUCUCGACAUUAGAGGAAAAGGGAACAAACAUGGCAGACAGGAGCAAGCCAGGCAGUACUACUGUGGAAGCUACAACAACGACAGCAACAACAAGGGUUCGUGAUUCAAAGUUUCAGGCCAUUCUGGCUGAUGAUCUUGGAAGAAGAAUCUGAUUUAUUUUUUUUUCAUAAUUAAUUUGGUAAUUUCAUCGAAGUUUAUUUAUGGUUGGGUUAUGAAUAUCAUACAUUCAUGAAAUAUUGUUGCGUUUCAUAUUGGAAAAGACGAUAGCGUAGAGAGAGGAGAAAGGGAUUGGUUCGGUUUUGUGAAUUGUGUCUGCCAGUAUGAUUUCAAAAACAAAAAGAAAAAGAAAAUUUACUUGUGAUCCAAGCAAGGAGAAUCUGUUUUUUAUUUUU